AAUUAUAUGGCUAACUUGCUGCAGUCUUGUCAACUUCUUCGCAUCACUGGGCGAAGUUUGUCGUAUAAU
rnacentral:pre_miRNA from 14 species